UCAUGCUUCCCUCACACCACUGACUGGAAAGCUACGCCUGCCAUUUUGUUCUAUCUUCAUUCUUUCUGAGCACAGUGAAGCAUGAGUGAGUAUUUGAAAAGGAACGUGAGGUCUAGAAAAGCACAGAAGCAACAGGACUAUGUGCAAGACUUCGAACGCCUCUUUGACAAGGAUUGCUAUAAAGAAAAAUGUCCAAAACAGGACCCGCCAUCUGAAUGUUUGGAUCUUCUAAGUGCUGAGCUGCUUGAUAUAACAGAAGUAAUGGAUGUCCCAGGGCGACGCAUGACUGAGUACAGGAAAGCAAAGACAGCACGUAGAACAAGACAGAUGGAAGAGGAUUACGCCCUAGAGUAUCAACACCUCUUUG